GACGAACGCUGGCGGCGUGCUUAACACAUGCAAGUCGUACGGUAAGGCCCUUUCGGGGGUACACGAGUGGCGAACGGGUGAGUAACACGUGAGUAACCUGCCCACAACUUUGGGAUAACGCUAGGAAACUGGUGCUAAUACUGGAUAUGUGCUCCUGCUGCAUGGUGGGGGUUGGAAAGCUCCGGCGGUUGUGGAUGGACUCGCGGCCUAUCAGCUUGUUGGUGGGGUAGUGGCCUACCAAGGCGGCGACGGGUAGCCGGCCUGAGAGGGUGACCGGCCACAUUGGGACUGAGAUACGGCCCAGACUCCUACGGGAGGCAGCAGUGGGGAAUAUUGCACAAUGGGCGCAAGCCUGAUGCAGCAACGCCGCGUGCGGGAUGACGGCCUUCGGGUUGUAAACCGCUUUCAGCAGGGACGAGCUUUUUGUGACGGUACCUGCAGAAGAAGCACCGGCUAACUACGUG
rnacentral:rRNA from 1 species